UGGCCAUGCUCCUUCUGAUCUCCUCGGAGGUCUUAGCCACUAGUGGUGGUGCGGGUAACUUUGGUGGUGGUAACCCUAGUGUUGGUGGUGGAUUACCUGGUGGUGGUGGUGGUGAUGUUGGAUUACCUGGUGGUGGUCGUGGUGGAUUCCCUAUUGGUGGUGAUGUUGGAUUACCUGGUGGUGGUCGUGGUGGAUUCCCUGUUGGUGGUGGUGUUGGAUUACCUGGUGGUGGUCGUGGUGGAUUCCCGAUUGGUGGUGGUGUUGGAUCACCUGGUGGUGGUGGUCGUCGUGGUGGACUACCUGUUGGUGGUGGUGUUGGAUUCCCUGUUGGAGGUGGCAGUGGCUUCCCGGGCAUUGUUGGUACCUUCCCUAGUGGUGGUGGCACCCCUCGUGGUCGUG
rnacentral:lncRNA from 1 species